CCAUGCAGGGAUGUCGUCUUGCAACAACCCAACAUAGCACAUGCAAGCUCACAAGUAUUGCAACAAAGUUACCAACUGUUGCAACAAUUAUGUUGUCAGCAACUGUGGCAGACCCCCGAGCAGUCACGGUGCCAAGCCAUCCACAAUGUCAUUCAUGCUAUUAUUUUGCAUCAACAACAACAACAACAACAACAACAACAACAACAACAACAACAACAACAACAACAACAACAACAACAACCGUCGAGCCAGGUCUCCUACCAGCAGCCUCAGCAACAAUAUCCAUCAGGCCAGGGCUCCUUCCAGCCAUCUCAGCAAAACCCACAGGCCCAGGGCUUUGUCCAACCUCAGCAACUGCCGCAGUUCGAGGAAAUAAGGAACCUAGCGCUACAGACGCUACCAGCAAUGUGCAAUGUCUACAUCCCUUCAUAUUGCUCGACCACCAUUGCGCCAUUUGGCAUCAUGAGUACUAACUGA
rnacentral:rRNA from 1 species